rnacentral:rRNA from 1 species
CUCUGUUGUAAGGGAAGAACAAGUACAGUAGUAACUGGCAGUACCUUGACGGUACCUUAUUAGAAAGCCACGGCUAACUACGUGCCAGCAGCCGCGGUAAUACGUAGGUGGCAAGCGUUGUCCGGAAUUAUUGGGCGUAAAGCGCGCGCAGGUGGUUUCUUAAGUCUGAUGUGAAAGCCCACGGCUCAACCGUGGAGGGUCAUUGGAAACUGGGAGACUUGAGUGCAGAAGAGGAUAGUGGAAUUCCAAGUGUAGCGGUGAAAUGCGUAGAGAUUUGGAGGAACACCAGUGGCGAAGGCGACUAUCUGGUCUGUAACUGACACUGAGGCGCGAAAGCGUGGGGAGCAAACAGGAUUAGAUACCCUGGUAGUCCACGCCGUAAACGAUGAGUGCUAAGUGUUAGGGGGUUUCCGCCCCUUAGUGCUGCAGCUAACGCAUUAAGCACUCCGCCUGGGGAGUACGGUCGCAAGACUGAAACUCAAAGGAAUUGACGGGGGCCCGCACAAGCG